UUACGGCCAUAUCAUGUUGAAACACCGGUUUUCAUACGAUCACCGAAGUUAAGUAAAGUCGAUCCGAGUCAGUAGCGAGAUGGGUGAUCAUUUGGGAAUAUCA